rnacentral:rRNA from 1 species
ACGCUCGACACCUACGGGGGCAGCAGUGGGGAAUAUUGCACAAUGGGGGAAACCCUGAUGCAGCGAUGCCGCGUGAAGGAAGAAGUAUCUCGGUAUGUAAACUUCUAUCAGCAGGGAAGAAAAUGACGGUACCUGACUAAGAAGCCCCGGCUAACUACGUACACGCAGCCGCCGGUAAGUUACUGAGGCGGGGCCGUGGCGAAGGACG